rnacentral:rRNA from 1 species
GGAGUCACGCCAGAAAUCUUACCCGGAGAGACAGCAGAAUGAAGGUCAAGCUGAAGACUUUACCAGACAAGCUGAGAGGUGGUGCAUGGCCGUCGCCAGCUCGUGCCGUGAGAUGUCCUGUUAAGUCAGGUAACGAGCGAGAUCCCUGCCUCUAGUUGCCACCAUUACUCUCAGGAGUAGUGGGGCGAAUUAGCGGGACCGCCGCAGUUAAUGCGGAGGAAGGAAGGGGCCACGGCAGGUCAGUAUGCCCCGAAACUCUGGGGCCACACGCGGGCUGCAAUGGUAGCGACAAUUGGUUUCGAAUCCGAAAGGAUGAGGUAAUCCACAAACGCUACCACAGUUAUGACUGAGGGCUGCAACUCGCCCUCACGAAUAUGGAAUCCCUAGUAACUGCGUGUCAUUAUCGCGCGGUGAAUACGUCCCUGCUCCUUGCACACACCGCCCGUCGUUUCAUUGAAGUGAGCUUUUAGCGAGGUGACGUCUAAUUGGCGUUAUCGAACUUGAGGUUCGUGACAAGGGAAAAGUCGUAACAAGGUGACCGUAGGGGAACCUGCGGUCGGAUCA